AUUGAACGCUGGCGGCAGGCUUAACACAUGCAAGUCGAACGGAUUGGUGGUGCUUGCACCAUCGGUUAGUGGCGAACGGGUGAGUAAUGCCUAGGAAUCUGCCGUGUAGUGGGGGACAACAUUCCGAAAGGGAUGCUAAUACCGCAUACGCCCUACGGGGGAAAGAGGGGGACCGCAAGGCCUCUUGCUAUACGAUGAGCCUAGGUCGGAUUAGCUAGUUGGUGGGGUAAAGGCCUACCAAGACGACGAUCUGUAGCGGGUCUGAGAGGAUGAUCCGCCACACUGGAACUGACACACGGUCCAGACUCCUACGGGAGGCAGCAGUGGGGAAUAUUGGACAAUGGGCGCAAGCCUGAUCCACCCAUGCCGCGUGUGUCAAGAAAGCCUUUUGGUUGUAAAGCACUUUCAGCUAGGAGGAGGCUUACCAGGGUAAUCACUUGCAUAAGUGGACCUUACUCGCAGAAUAAGCACCGGCUAACUCUGUGCCAGCCGCCGCGGUAAUACAGAGGGUGCGAGCGUAAUUCGGAAUUACUGGGCGUAAAGCGCGCGUAAGCGUUUGUUAAGUCGGAUGUGAAAUCCCCGGGCUCACCUGGGAAUUGCAUUCGAUACUGGCUAACUAGAGUAUGGGAGAGGAAGGUAGAAUCCCAGGUGUAGCGGUGAAAUGCGUAGAGAUCUGGAGGAAUACCGAUGGCGAAGGCAGCCUUCUGGCCUAAUACUGACGCUGAGGUGCGAAAGCAUGGGGAGCAAACAGGAUUAGAUACCCUGGUAGUCCAUGCCGUAAACGAUGUCAACUAGCCGUUGGGGGAUUUGAUCCUUUAGUGGCGCAGCUAACGCGAUAAGUUGACCGCCUGGGGAGUACGGUCGCAAGACUAAAACUCAAAUGAAUUGACGGGGGCCCGCACAAGCGGUGGAGCAUGUGGUUUAAUUCGAUGCAACGCGAAGAACCUUACCUGGUCUUGACAUAGUGAGAAUCCUGCAGAGAUGCGGGAGUGCCUUCGGGAAUUCACAUACAGGUGCUGCAUGGCUGUCGUCAGCUCGUGUCGUGAGAUGUUGGGUUAAGUCCCGCAAUGAGCGCAACCCUUUUCCUUAUUUGCCAGCACUUCGGGCGGGAACUCUAAGGAUACUGCCAGUGACAAACUGGAGGAAGGCGGGGACGACGUCAAGUCAUCAUGGCCCUUACGACCAGGGCUACACACGUGCUACAAUGGUCGGUACAAAGGGUUGCUAGCCUGCGAAGGUAUGCCAAUCUCAAAAAGCCGAUCGUAGUCCGGAUUGGAGUCUGCAACUCGACUCCAUGAAGUCGGAAUCGCUAGUAAUCGCGGAUCAGAAUGCCGCGGUGAAUACGUUCCCGGGCCU
rnacentral:rRNA from 1 species